rnacentral:lncRNA from 1 species
CCAGGUUCCACCCUUUCUGGUCAUGCAGCUGAAUUGCCUUCACCUGUGCUCCCAGGGCUGACCAGUCUUGUCUCCAGGUGCUCAAUCAGUGAUUCAGGCUGUGAUUCAACUGUUCCCCUACAAGUGCAAUCUAUGCUUGUUUUUAUUUAGGCAGAGACAAUGUGGAUGUCCCUGGAGCUGAAAUACUUCAAAGAGGGGGAGAUGAGAUUUGAGUGCUGUGGAACAGUGUAGUGGCUGUCCUUGGAUUGGAAGUUUCUAAUUUCCACUACAGACAAUUUCAAGGAGAACAUCGUUAUUUUAAGGAAGACCUAUGAGAAGUUGUUUGUGCUGUUGAAGUGCAGUGACAUUUCUAACAAUGCAGGAGUUACGGUGUUAACACAAAAGGAGUGAAACAUGGAUGUAGAGUAUUUAUUAUAGAACAUGACAGGAGGUGUCCUAAAGCCAUAUUUUCACCUAAGACCCAACGUAUUUAUCUAUGUGAUGAAAGACCAGGAUACCUGUGUUUCUGAAAGCACUCUUUUAAUGAGUGUUUGCCCCAAGAAUUGGAAUUCUAAAUGGACCAGGCUUCCAGAUCUCAAAACGGGAGAAGAAAAUAGAGGCAAUGACAUAACACAAAAGACCAGACCUUUUUCAGAAUUUUCUGACAGACUGCUUCCAACUUUUAAAUGUUUUAGACGUUCUUGUGAGAUACUCAGAUGAUUAAUGUCACAGAAAGAAAACUCGCAAUUUGUGCUCUGAAAUAAAAUUUCUGCACUGCAGCUACA